GUAAAACUUCUAAAGUACCUGGCACACGUAAAGCCCUAUUGGUUUAUGGUUUGGGGAAUACCAAACUUCCUGUUUCUCUUCCUCCGUCUCUUAGUGCCUUCCACACCAUUAUCUUCUCUCAUAAGCUUUAAUCAAAGCAGAAAGAUCCCAAUAUACUAUCCUUGGCCCCCUUUUUCUCAUUCAGGAACAAAUAAUCGAUGACUCUUAGAGCUAUGUGGCACUUAGGAUUAGUAACAUGUUGGUGACAUGCCAUUCUUUUACUGAAAGAACACUGAGGUCUGGAGAAGUAACUAUGCGUGUCAUCCCCAGAGCAAUUUGACAGCUGAGCAAAGCACAAUGGCAUUAGCUGUUAUUUGUGGCUAAACACCUUUAAAAAGUCCCCAAUAUAUUUUCAUUUUUAGAAAUCCCCACUUUAGACUUAAAAUGAUCUGCUUCUAUGAGGAUUUUUGAUAUGAUACAUUAAUCAAACUUAACUAUGUGCCCCUUAAGAAUAUUGUCAGUUCUAUCAAUCUUCAUAGCUCACCCAGUGCUAGGUGAGUGUUUUGAACACGGAAUGUGUUUGUGCUUCAGGCAUUCUGUCUCUAAGGAUGGAAUGGAAAACCCUUCCCUUUCAAGCUUUACAGGUACGUUGUGUCAAGUGGAGAAGAUCAGUUCUGGUUAGCAGCUUUAUUGCCACAGAAAGGACACUGGCAGAUACUUCUCAUAGCUCUAGUCAUGCUGAAUUCCCAGAAAGGGGUGUCAGAAUGAAUUGCUCUAAGCUCUUCUCCCUGGUAGAAGAACCUGUGACUUCUCUUGGAGAUCUCUUCAAUUUUCGGAAGCUGAUGCUUACAACAAUGGAGAUUAGCAAUACCUGGACAGAGUUGAGCUUCAAAGGAUACUGAGAAAUGGCUAAAGCAGAUGAUAAAGAAAAAAUGAGGAAAUGCUGUGAAGAACUAAUAGAACGUUUCAGAAGCAGAACAAGUCGAGAGCAGUGAUGACCCUUUUCUUCCUGCUAGUACCUCCUGUCUGUCUGGCUGAACUCACCAUCAGAUGAUGUCUUGAACCUCACCUAGAUGGGCUGGUGGUGUGUGGCCAGGUUAAGAGCACCAACAGGAGUAAGAAAGUGACCUGCCUGGUUUUACCGUGUGCACUAGGGGAGGGGUUGAAAGCUUUCGGUUGAUACAUCACCUCUGGGAGUUGAAGAAGAAUGCAAUUAAGAGAGCUAAAGAAGUCAGUAGGUAUCUCUCCUGAACAAUUCUGGUUUUCUUCUAAUAGCUUUUACAAUUUUUACCUCUGUUAUGAAAUGCAAACUUUUAACCAAUAUUAGUAAUAGUAAUCUCAAAUCUCAUCAUCAUCAAAAUCUUAUUUAUGAAAUGUAGGAGUUAGUUCAUAUACAGCCUUAGCCUUUUCCACAUUAUAAAAUAUAUUCCAUAUAUAUGUGUGAUCUUCAUUUAAUAUUCAAGUAAAUGUUGUAAGAUAUUGUUAUUUUUAUUCUAACAUUUCACAGGUAUAGAAUCUGAAACUCAGAGGUCAACUGAUGUGUCAAAGAUACCUCCACAAAUCAGUACCUUGAUUAAAACUAAAAUUGGAGUCAUCUUCAUAUCUUCAUCUUUCUCCCUCUUCAUUAGGACCGAUUGUAGUCUGUUUCCCUCUCACUCACUUGCAAUCUUUAUUGCUUUAGUGUUGCAUUUGAUUUUUAUCUUUGUUUUUGUUUUAAAUACUGUCAUUAAAGUCAUAGAAAAAUCUAAAGUAAAACUGGUUGAAUAAAAAUUUUAAAAUCGACUCUAAUGUAAUAAACCAGACAAAAAUGAUACUUUACAUGUUAUAUCUUCCCUUUAAACUACAAAUAUUCAUUGAGUGUAUACCCUGUAUUAGGCUGUUGGAAUAAAACAGGGAAGAAGACAGAAGAAACUGCACCGCCAUCUUAGAUCUUGCAGCCAAAUUCCUCUGAACUUUUCUCUAAAGACGUGCUCUGGAAAAAUGUUGAUCAUUUUCCUACAUCAUGGAGGUCUUUUCAUGACCACCUUUGUCUAGACAAUGUCCUGUUUUUAGGUGCACGUUUGAGGGCUGGAGUCUCUGACCCACAGUGCUGCAGCCUGCACGUGGUUUGUCCUGACUUCUUUGCUACUUCACUUUUCGUAAGGCUCUGAGAGUGCAGGCCCUUGUGGGUGGACACUGCAGGGUGAGAGGAAGAAGUAAACUACUUUUUUCCGUUUCUGAUGGGGGUGUGGGUCAGCAGCUAUAAGCAACAGGGACCAUGGGGGGCCUCAGACUUCAGCACCUGAGAGGCAGUUUCAGUCGUAUUGGGGAGAUGCAGGCAUCUGGGUUGCUGCACAUCACCAGGGCAGGGUUCUCUCAGCAGCCCUGGAGUGCAGAGUUCCCAUCAGCUCAGCAGUGAGGGGCACAUGGGGCUCCAGUGGUGAGGACUCUUGGUCCUUGGAUGACAACACUCCCCUGCCCACUUCUCCAGCCUUCCCUGUAACCCUUUGCCACCUCUAACCAAUCUUCUGUGUUACAUCUCUUCGGUUUGCAAUAUGUAGUGUUCGUAUAUGACUGGACAGUAUCUACUGGAGUUAAUAUCUAUCAGAGUAAUUAUAUCACAAUUGCAAUCUUCUCCUAAGAGUGAAUAGUGACAUUAAAAAUUUCAACAUUAUAAAUUAUGCAGAAAUAAAACUAAUUAUACAAAAAAUACACUCUGAAUGUCAGUUUUUCCCUGAGACAAUCUACCAUUUGAUAUACGGUGAUUCACACUUCUUAAUAUACAACAUUGAAUUACUUUUCCAAAAGCCUCUUCAAAUUUUGCUGCAGAAUUAAACUUCACUUGCACCAGCUCUGAAUUAUGUGUGCUUUUCCUUCUUGGUCAAUUUCAUAGGUGUAUCAUUAUUUGUCUUUUUUAAUUAAUAUGUUUAUAUAACUUUUCAUGUUUAUCCAUGUAACUACUGCUUCUAUUGAAAUGUUUUCUUCAUAAAUAUAAAUGUGUUUUUGGUAUGAAAAUAAUAACUGGCCAGAUGCGGUGGCUCACACCUGUAAUCCCAGCACUUUGAGAGGCCGAGGUGGGUGGAUCACCUGGGGUCAGGAGUUCGGGACCAGCCUGGCCAGCAUGGUGAAACCCCAUCUCUACUAAAACUACAAAAUUAGCUGGUGUGGUAGCACGUGCCUGUAAUCCAAGCUACUUGGGAGGCUGAGACAGGAGACUCAGUCAAACCUAGGAGGCAGAAGUUGCAGUGAGCCAAGAUCACGCUAUUGCACUCCAGCCUGGGCAAAAAGAGUGAAACUCUGUCUCAAAAAGAAAAGAAAAAAAAUAGUAACUCUUUGUGAAUAGUAUCAACUAAAAUAUUUUUAUUUCAGUUUCAUUCUGAUAUUUUGUGUCAUCAGAAUUUUUUAAAGUAUUUUGUUUAAUAUAUUAACUUUAAUAAUUUCGUUAACUGUUUUGUGCUUACAAAGUCUUUAUGCAUUUGGGGAUUAUGUAAAGCAUCUACCUUUACACUUUUAAUGAGUUUCAGAGGUUUUUUUGGUACCUUUGAGUUAUAAUACAAAAAUAAUUUAUUUGGGUGUGAUAUGCAGUGAAUUGCUAACAUUAUUGCUUUUAAGUUAAAAUUAAAUUCCAAUGUUGAAUGGUAUUUUCUUUUAUUCAUUAAUUUCAAAAAUAAUUAGUAACUGUUUGUUCCAGGCACUAUCUAGGUUUAUGAUGUUUGAAACAAAGAUUCUUCCCACACAGCAUUUAUAUACUAGUGGUAAAUACAGGCAAUAAACUAAUAAAUAUGUAAUGAAAUGUCAAGUAUUAAUAAUCACAGUAAAUAAAAAAUAAAGGCAGAGAGAUGAGAUAGGAAUGAUUAGCGAAUCUAUUUAACACAGGCUAGUUAGGAGCCCUUUAUUUAGAAGGUGAAAUUUCAUCAGAUCCGUAAAUGAAACAAUGGAGUCACUCGUAAACAACGGGGCAGAGAUGCUUUAAGCAGAGGAAACAGAGAAAGUUAAAAGCUGUGAGACUGAAAGUAACUUGCAACGUUUGAACAGCAGCAAGAAGAUCUGUGGCCCCAGACUGAGGUGAGAAAGUUGGCAAAACAGAAAAUGGGGUUAGAAGUGGAACCAAGGAACCGGUCCUAUAAAAUCAUGAUGGUCCUGAGAAGGACCAGGGACAGGCAGAGGUGUGUUUAAGAAAGGGAAGACAAAAGUAUACACGGCACUCAAGAGAGUGCAUGUGCACUUAGAAAAAGAAAGGAAGUCUCAGCCAAUGUUUGGCCCCUGUCUUCUAAGAACUCUUCAGGAAGUUUACCAGGCAUGCUCACAGUCUGUUCUGACUGUAGCCUGGCUUCCCCUCCCCACCCCACCCCACCAUACAACUCCCAGCAACAGACAGCACUCAGAGAAUCUCCAGAGAGUGAAGGGCCCCAAAGCUUUGACUCUCCUUGCUUCUCGGUGAAUCCCACUCUGAGAUAUCACUGGAGGACGGACAGAGAGGAAAGACAUUUGGAACAGGAAAUAAUGACAAGGAAAAAAGUCUGGAGGAUGGAGCAAGAUGGCAGAAUAGAAGGUUCCACUGAUCAUCCCCCUGCAAGAACACCAAUUUAAAAACUAUCUACACAAAAAACACCUUCUCAAGAACCAAAACUCAGAUAUAGAAGACACUAUCCUAACAUUUGUAUGAAAGCACAAAACACCCAGAAGAGCCAAAAUUAUUCUAAGCAAAACCACCAACCAACCAACCCACCAAAACUGGAGGAAUCCCAUUGCCUGACUUCAAAUUAUACUACAACAGAGCUACCAUAACCAAAACAGCAUGGUUCUGGCAUAAACACAGAUACAUAGACCAAUAAAACCGAAUACUCAGAAACAAAUCCACAUACCUACAGUGAACUCAUUUUCUACAAAGGUGCAAGGAACAUACACCAGGGAAAAGAUCGUCUCUUCAAUAAGCUGUACUGGGAAAAGUGGAUAUCUAUAUGAAGAAAAAUGAAACUAGUCCCGUCUCUCGCCAUAUACAAAGAUAUAGUCAAAAUGGACUAAAGACUUUAAGAACUCAAACUAUGAAACUACCAGAAGAAAACGUUGGAGAAAAUCUCCAGGAUAUUUGUCUGGGCAAAUAUUUCUUGAGUAAUACUCCAUAACACAGGCAACCAAAGCAAACAUGGACAAAGGAGAGCACAUUAUGUUAAAAAGCUUCUGCACAGUGAAGGAAAUAAAUCAACGAAGAGACAUCCCACAAAAUGGAAGAAAAUGUUUUCAAACUACACACCUGACAAGGAAUUAAUAACCACAAUACAUAGGGAGCUCAAAUAAAUCUAUAGGAAAAAAUCUAAUAAUCUGAUUUAUAUAUUGAUAAAAGAUUGAAUAGACAUUUCUCAAAAGACAACAUACAAAUCAAAAACAGGCACAUAAAAAGUGCUCAACAUUGAUCAGAGAAAUGCUGAUCAAAGCUACAAUGAGAUACCAUCUCAUCCCAAUUAAAAUGGCUCUUAUACAAAAGACAUGCAAAAAUAAAUGCUGGUGAGGACAUGGAGAAAAGGGAACCCUCAUAAACUCUGUGGGAAUGUGAAGUUGCAUUUAAAGUUGUAUUUAAAGGUGCAACAGAGAACAGUUUGGAGGUUCCUCGAAAAAACUAAGAAUAGAGCUAACGUAUCAUCCAGCAAUCCCGCUGCUGGGUAUAUACCCAAAAGAAAAGAAAUCAAUAUACUGAAAAGACAUCUACACUUCCAUGUUUGUUGCAGCUCUGUUCACAAUAGCUAAAAUUUGGAAGCAACCUAUGUGUCCAUCAACAGAUGAAUGGGUAAAGAAAAUGUGGUACUUAUACAUGAUAGGUACUAUAUAGCCACAAAACAUAAUGAGAUCCUG
rnacentral:lncRNA from 1 species